rnacentral:misc_RNA from 1 species
GAUGAAGAACGCAGCGAAAUGCGAUAAGUAGUGUGAAUUGCAGAAUUCAGUGAAUCAUCGAAUCUUUGAACGCACAUUGCGCCCCUUGGUAUUCCAUGGGGCAUGCCUGUUCGAGCGUCAUUUGUACCUUCAAGCUUUGCUUGGUGUUGGGUGUUUGUCUCGCCUUUGCGUGUAGACUCGCCUUAAAAUAAUUGGCAGCCGGCGUAUUGAUUUCGGAGCGCAGUACAUCUCGCGCUUUGCACUCAUAACGACAGCGUCCAAAAGUACAUUUUACACUCUUGACCUCGGAUCAGGUAGGGAUACCCGCUGAACUUAAGCAUAUCAAUAAGCGGAGGA